CCAGGAGGUCUUCAGCAGGACCCUGACCUUUUGUGCUGGAUGGCAGUGUCUGCCAGGGGACAGGACAGUGCAGGAGAAGCCCACUCAUGCCCACUGAGCCUGCGUGUACCUUGGGCUGUCAUUCUAUAGGCCACAGCAGUGAGAGGCCUGCGUACAGCAAAAAUAAAUAAAUAAAAUAAAUAAAUAAAAAA